UAAUUUUGGCCCUUGUUAGUUUAGGUUCUGGUUGUCAUUUGCUAAGAUUCAUCGGUGAAACCUUACUGCUAGUUUAGUUCACCUCACCUUUCUUGUUCUGAUCUUUUUGGCAAAGAUUCAUCGAUGCAACAGUAAUGCUAUCUUGGAUCACCUCGCCUUUCUUGUGAUAUUUUUUGGCAAAGAUUCAUCAGUGAAGCCCUACUGCUAUCUUGGAUCACGUUGCCUUUCUUGUUGUGAUCUUAUUGGCAAAGAUUAAUGGAUGAAACCCUACUGCUAUCUUGGAACACCUUUCUUGUUGUGAUCUAUCUUUAAAGUGAGGUCGAAAAGGUGCUUGUUUGAAACCAAUUAAUGAAUGCAAUUGAAGGGGUUUUAUAAUAUUUGGUUCUGAUAUGAUGGCACACUUUUGGUCAGACAAAUUACAAUGUUCAUUUAAAUCUUUUGCACCAGUAAAUGAUCACAGGUUCUUGCUUUCCUUC
rnacentral:lncRNA from 1 species